CGGAGCGUGGCGCAGCCUGGUUAGCGCACUUGACUGGGGGUCAAGGGGUCGGAGGUUCAAAUCCUCUCGCUCCGA
rnacentral:tRNA from 1 species